rnacentral:lncRNA from 10 species
CCGGGUCUGAGUGGUAGCGUCCCCUCUGUCCCUGGCCGUCCUGUGCCCUGACCUUCCUCCCCGCAGAGGGCUUCCAGUCCUGGAUGUGGCGGGGCCUCACCUUCCUGCUGCCUUUUCUUUUCUUUGGACACGUAAGUCGUGCCUCUGUGUCCCUGCCUGUCUGUCUGUCCGUCCUCUGCGCCGGUUUCGGGCUCCAGCAGGGACUGGGUCUUCUGAGUAAAAUGCCUCCUCCCUGCUUAGUUCUGGCAGCUUUUUAACGCGCUGACGUUGUUCAACCUGGCCCAGGACCCUCAGUGCAAGGAGUGGCAGGUGCUUAUGUGCGGCUUUCCCUUCCUCCUCCUUUUCCUCGGCAAUUUCUUCACCACCCUGAGGGUUGUGCACCACAAGUUUCACAGUCAGCGGCACGGGAGCAAGAAGGAUUGAGGCUGGGCCUUCCCCUGCCGGCCCAGAGGGGCUUCUGUCCUGUGUGUUGUGGGAGGGGAUGGGAGGCGCCCCUCGAGUGUGCGUGUAUCAGGGGGUCUCUUCUAUUCUCCCUUGGGUUUUAUGGGCGCUGUGGGCCCUGAAGGAAGACCUGGGCCCAGUGCCCUCAAUAAAGAGAGGCCCAGAGGUG